rnacentral:rRNA from 1 species
AGAGUUUGAUCAUGGCUCAGGACGAACGCUGGCGGCGCGCUUCAAGCAUGCAAGUCGAACGAGAACCCCGGGCUUGCCCGGGGGGAGAGUGGCGAACGGGUGAGUAACACGUGAGGAACCUGCCCCGAAGACCGGGAUAACGCCGGGAAACUGGUGCUAAUACCGGAUGCCCUCGCCAGAUCGCAUGGUCCGGCGAGGAAAUGGAUUCCGCUUCGGGAUGGCCUCGCGUCCUAUCAGCUUGUUGGUGGGGUAACGGCCCACCAAGGCAGCGACGGGUAGCUGGUCUGAGAGGAUGUCCAGCCACACUGGGACUGAGACACGGCCCAGACUCCUACGGGAGGCAGCAGCUAGGAAUCUUGCGCAAUGGACGAAAGUCUGACGCAGCGACGCCGCGUGCGGGAUGAAGGCCCUAGGGCCGUAAACCGCUUUCAGCAGGGACGAAACUGACGGUACCUGCAGAAGAAGCCCCGGCCAACUACGUGCCAGCAGCCGCGGUA